rnacentral:lncRNA from 10 species
AGGCCCGGUGGUCCAGGAUCCAGUGCUGCUCCCCAUGUGCCCAUCUCACAUGCUGCUCGGCACCAGCAGCCAUCACCACUCCACUUCUCUCAAGAGACAGAGUCUUGCUCUAUCCCCCAGGUGGGAGUGCAGUGGCAUGAUCUUGGCUCACUGCAACCUCCCCCUCCUGGGUUCAAGUGGUUCUCCUGCCUCAGCCUCUCGAGCAUCUGGGAUUACAGAUGGAGGAAGGAGGUCCCAAGCCAAGGAAUGCAGCAUGGGCCUCUAGAAGCUGGAAUGACCCUCACCUCACGGCCAGCAAGAAAUCAGGGAACUCAGUCUUACCCGAGUGAGCAGGAAAUCGAUUCUCCUCUGCAGCCUCUAUAGAGAACACAGCCUGUCAACACCCUGAUUUUGGCCCAAUGAGCCCUGUACCUCCAGAAGUGUAACGUAAUAAAUUUGUGUUGUUUUAAGCUA